rnacentral:rRNA from 1 species
CGGCGAGUGAAGCGGCAACAGCUCAAAUUUGAAAUCUGGCUCUCGGGCCCGAGUUGUAAUUUGUAGAGGAUGCUUUUGAUGCGGUGCCUUCCGAGUUCCCUGGAACGGGACGCCAUAGAGGGUGAGAGCCCCGUCUGGUUGGAUGCCAAAUCUCUGUAAAGCUCCUUCGACGAGUCGAGUAGUUUGGGAAUGCUGCUCUAAAUGGGAGGUAUAUGUCUUCUAAAGCUAAAUAUUGGCCAGAGACCGAUAGCGCACAAGUAGAGUGAUCGAAAGAUGAAAAGCACUUUGAAAAGAGAGUUAAAAAGUACGUGAAAUUGUUGAAAGGGAAGCGUUUAUGACCAGACUUGGGCUUGGUUAAUCAUCUGGGGUUCUCCCCAGUGCACUUUUCCAGUCCAGGCCAGCAUCAGUUUUCGCCGGGGGAUAAAGGCUUCGGGAAUGUGGCUCCCUCCGGGGAGUGUUAUAGCCCGUUGCGUAAUACCCUGGCGGGGACUGAGGUUCGCGCAUCUGCAAGGAUGCUGGCGUAAUGGUCAUCAACGACCCGUCUUGAAACACGGACCAAGGAGUCGUCUUCGUAUGCGAGUGUUCGGGUGUCAAACCCCUACGCGUAAUGAAAGUGAACGCAGGUGAGAGCUUCGGCGCAUCAUCGACCGAUCCUGAUGUUCUCGGAUGGAUUUGAGUAAGAGCAUACGGGGCCGGACCCGAAAGAAGGUGAACUAUGCCUGUGUAGGGUGAAGCCAGAGGAAACUCUGGUGGAGGCUCGCAGCGGUUCUGACGUGCAAAUCGAUCGUCAAACAUGGGCAUGGGG